rnacentral:rRNA from 1 species
AAUAUUGGACAAUGGGCGAAAGCCUGAUCCAGCCAUGCCGCGUGUGUGAAGAAGGUCUUCGGAUGGUAAGGCACCUUCAUUUGGGAGGAAGGACAGUAAGUUAAUACCUUGCUGUUUUGACGUUACCGACAGAAUAAUCACCGGCUAACUUCGUGCCAGCAGCCGCGGUAAUAUGAAGGGUGCAAGCGUUAAUCGGAAUUACUGGGCGUAAAGCGGGCGUAGGUGGUUUGUUAAGUUGGAAGUGAAAGCCCCGGGCUUAACCUGGGAAUUGCUUUCGAAACUGACGAGCUAGAGUACGGUAGAGGGUAGUGGAAUUUCCUGUGUAGCGGUGAAAUGCGUAGAUAUAGGAAGGAACAUCAGUGGCGAAGGCGACUACCUGGACUGAUACUGACACUGAGGUGCGAAAGCGUGGGGAGCAAACAGG